GUUAUUUGAGGGCAGAACGGGCGGCUGCCACGCCAGCAAUGGUCUUUAAAGAGAUGUAGGGUUGCCAACCUACCGAAUAGC
rnacentral:ncRNA from 1 species